AUUGAACGCUGGCGGCAUGCCUUACACAUGCAAGUCGAACGGCAGCGGGCCUUCGGGUGCCGGCGAGUGGCGAACGGGUGAGUAAUGCAUCGGAACGUGCCAUUGAGUGGGGGAUAACGUAGCGAAAGUUGCGCUAAUACCGCAUAUUCUGUGAGCAGGAAAGCAGGGGACCGCAAGGCCUUGCGCUCUUUGAGCGGCCGAUGUCAGAUUAGCUAGUUGGUGAGGUAAAGGCUUACCAAGGCGACGAUCUGUAGCGGGUCUGAGAGGAUGAUCCGCCACACUGGAACUGAGACACGGUCCAGACUCCUACGGGAGGCAGCAGUGGGGAAUUUUGGGACAAUGGGGGCAACCCUGAUCCAGCCAUGCCGCGUGAGUGAAGAAGGCCUU
rnacentral:rRNA from 1 species